rnacentral:misc_RNA from 1 species
CAACACUCAAGCUCUGCUUGGUAUUGGAUGCUACCUUGCAAAUGUGGUGCAUCUCAAAAUCAGUGGUGGUGCCAUUUAGCCUCAAGCGUAGUAAAAUUUCUCGCUUUGGAGGUCUUGAUGUGUACCUGCCAGCAACUAAUUUUUAAU